AGAAAAAAGGAGAGAGAGAGAGAGGAGAGGGGAUGGAGGGAUGAAUAAUAUUACAUUUUCAAAAAAUUGUCAACAGUUGUAAAUUUGGCCAAGUUGGUAACAUGGUAAUAUGAAUAAACCCCUAAACUUAAUUAUAUGCCUGCAUUAGCUCUCCUUGGGUUAGAAUAGACAUGUAAUCAAGUUUGAUACUUUGACUUGACUAUCACCAAUUCAACAAUUCUUACUCAAAUCCUUUUGUAUUACUUCUUUUCCCAUGAACAAACUCAAUAUCACAUCAAAUUUCACCUUAUUCUUAUAACCAAAUAAUGCAAAUCAUGAUUGAAUAUUAGCCAGCAAAAGCCCAAUUUUAUGUGAAGCCACAUGGCAUAAAGUCAUAAAACAGACAACUGUCUGACAAAAAGUCCAAAACAGUUAAAAUUCAUAUAAGAAUUAGCUUAAAAAUUCCUCA
rnacentral:misc_RNA from 1 species